GGGGGGUGGAGUUCACCCACCCUUUUUGAGGGUAGUCACUAGGUUUAGAGGGUAUCAUCUAUAAAAGUUACUUUUACCAAAGUGUGGCACUUAAAAAAAAAAUUUUGGCACUAAUACAAACGCAUGCCAUGCCUUACACACAAGCUUCAAUUUGAAGACACAAAAAAGUGGAAGCAUUGAGAAUAUAUAGAGGAUGAUAUCAUAUGGGAUUGAAUCAAGCUCUGCCUUUUGCCUCCUUCCAUUGUUUUUAUCUUUUUUCUGUAGUAGCAAUGGUUGAUGUUAUGGAUCACAGUAUAGACAUGUUUUUUCAAUGCACUUUGAAAAAACAUGUGGUUAGUUUUCUAGGAGAUUACAUUGGUGCCAGGAAGGAUCUGCUCUAUAGAUACUCACACAUGCUGUUCCCCUAUAAUAGCUGGCAAAGUUUGAUAUAGUUUAUCACCUUCUACUCCAUUUGAGCCCUUGUCUCCAUGCUUCUCAAACUUCUAUUAGGGUUUGGAAAGAUUGGGUCCAUAGAGUGGCUUUAUUCUUGGAUUGAGAGAGAGAGAGAGAGAGAGAGAGAGAUGGUGGUGGCUGGGGUUUGCUGUGGAGUAGCAUGGAUGCUUCAGUUCUUUUAGAUUCGAGAGAUCAAAGAGAGAUGGAGGUGUUUAGAUCAAGAUCAGAUUUAAAGAGAGAGAUUUCUGUGAGAGGAUAUUGAUUGUAUCGCCUACAUGACCUUGAUAACCAAGAAAGGAUAUUGUUAUCAGAUCCAUAACACUUCUUAGGCCAUCAUUUUGGCAUAAUUGAGCUGCCACGAUGCACUUAAUUUGCAUACACCGGCUGUAUACAUUUACUUGGAUCCUCUUGGAUAUCUAGGUAGCAUGCAGGUGAAUAUGCUAUGGCAUUGGCUACAUGCUCAUGUUGGGCUGCCAUGGCCUUGGCAACGUGCAUGCGGGCAUGCCUUGGCCUUGGCAACGUGCACAUGGGGUUGCCAUGGGCAUGCCAGCAUGCCUAAAGGAGGUUAUUUCGGCAUGCCCACCUGCACGUUGCAUUGCCUCGUCCCCCUCUCCCUGGCCAAAUUGUGUUCCUACAAUCCAUUCCUAAAUUCAUUCCAAGAUUUCAGAGUGGGUUUCCAGCAAUCGAUUCAGCAUUUCGAGCAUUUUUGAAUUUUUAUGAUUUUUCCUAUUUUUUGGCUUCUGAAAAUAACUAAAAAAAAUGUUGAAUCUAGACUUGAAAAUUUUCCUACUUCAAGAUUGAAUUUUUCUUAGCAUGUAUGCAAACAAAUUAGGACAAGAUUAAAAGAAUUGCCCCAAAAGAGGUCAUUAUGUUUCCUAAAAAAAUCAAUGUUUCCUAGUGUAAGGAAGGAUAUGCUCCUAAGUGCUCUUAGGGGGGAGGAGUAGUUUGGUGAUGCAUGAUGGCAUCCCCCCAUGAGCUUGGCCACUGGUAGGAAUGCUCAAGCCAAGGGAAGAUCGUCCACUGUAUUGCUGAGUGGUUAGUCUUAUAUCAAGG